rnacentral:lncRNA from 1 species
CUCUCUUAAUCAAACGUUUGUCCUCGAAUGAGCAUAGAGACAUACCAAAAGUGCCAAAAAUAUUAGAAUUCAAGCUCCACAAAUCAUGCUCGGGGUCCCAAGUCGCCUUCUUGAAUGCUUGACCUCUCCAUUGAAUCUUCACCGAUGCAAUGUUCUUCGACAUCGGCUUUCAGAUCUGCCUGUCCAAAAUGGCUAUCGGCUUCUCAAAAUAUAUCAAAUCCGUUUCCAACUACACCAAGAUAAAAUCUAACACAUGUGAAGAAUCCCCAUAGUACUUCUGGAGCAUAAAAAUAUGAAACACCAGAUGAAUUUCUGAUAAGUUGGGUCGCAAAGAAAGUCUGUAUGCC